UACGUAGGGUGCGAGCGUUGUCCGGAAUUAUUGGGCGUAAAGGGUAGGUAGGUGGUCUUGUUUGUCUGGGGUGAAAGCCUUGAGCUUAACUCAAGAAGUGCCCCAGAAACGGCAAGACUAGAGUCCUGGAGAGGGUCGUGGAAUUCCCGGUGUAGCGGUGAAAUGCGUAGAGAUCGGGAGGAACACCAGAGGCGAAGGCGGCGACCUGGACAGGAACUGACACUCAACUACGAAAGCGUGGGGAGCAAACAGG
rnacentral:rRNA from 1 species